AGUUACAUCACUUAAUAUGAAACACAUAAGGGGAAAAAUGCUGUUGUGAUCUCAAGUAAACUGCUUGUCUGGGCUGUGAUCAGGACAAUGAAAGUGAUAAUGACUAUGAGGGUGUAGACGAGGAGCCUGGACCGGACAACUACAUCUGUGCUUUAACUGAGCCACAAAUAGCGGAGGAAGAAGACAGUGACGACGAGACAUAUGAAGUUCACCAGAGGCUGCCUGCUGCUGGAGAAAUAAUGAGGCCACCACCACCCUCAAGAUUGCCUAAACCUCCUAACUGUCAUAGAGGUAAUGGCUAGCAGCUCUGACAAUAGUGCCGAGCACAAAGAAAUGCACUUGCAAGUGAAAACAUCCAUGCAUUAUUUUUUUUUAAAUCCAAAUGGGUGUUCAUUUUUCCGGCACAUGUAACUAAAGAAAUGUGUUCAGAUCCUGUUUGUGUACCAUUGCCUGCUGAAAGAAGCUCAAAACACCCACCACCUCAGCCCCAAAGGAACCAUAUUCCUCAAAAACCUUCCAAAGCACCAGGUGAUUGCACAUUUAUUCACUCCACAAGCACUUGAUUUAUCAGUUAUAUACUAUGCUAAUUUUGGAUUUAUUAGCUGAUCUAAUGAAUGAAAAAAUUAUUGAUAGCUGAUCUAAACCUUGUGUAAAAUGUUUCUUUUUCCCCAUUUGUAAUGCCAGCUCCCCAGUCCAAUCUACAUAUAGACAAGAGUAAAAAGCCUGGACAACCUGUCCCAACCCAGAGAGACAUUACUAAAUUGAGUAUGUCGUGUAUAUUAUGUGAUGUUUUCAUGUGCAUGUUGUAGUUCGACAGAUAAAUGCUUGAAUUUUGGCACAAUAUUUAACAAUUACAUUUCAUAUUAUCGACAAUGUCCACAAGAGGGCAGUGCUGUCAAGGCUCCUGGCUCAUUGAGAAGCAAAUUCUAUCGUGGAAGGUCCUCUAAGCCUACAGACAAGUCCCUCGGUCCCUCCCCUCCCAGACCACGUGAACUCAUUCCAGCUCCUCCAGAGCCAGCUAAGAGGAACAUUUCAACAUCCCAUCCAAAGAAGGAUUUGGAUCCCAGCUGGUAUGGAGGAAUGAUGACCAGAUAUAACGCUGAAGCCAUCCUUAGAGAUGUGAACAAGGAUGGAGCAUUUGUGGUGAGGGACAGCUCCAAAGGCUUGUCUGAGCACCCCUACACCCUGAUGCUGCUGAACCAAGGCAAGGUUUACAACAUUAGGAUCCGUAACCAAGGCAACUCCUACUCGCUCGGCAAUGGCCUCAGCAACACAAAGAGUUUCCCCGGGGUGAAGGAGAUGAUUACCCAUCACGCACACACCCCAUUGCAGCUUGCUGAUGCCCAAGACCACAGUUCUGAAGAGAAACCCCAGUGUUGCCUGCUGCACCCUGCGGGACUAUGACCAGAAUCAACGCCCUACUAAAUAUCAGUUUCAGGUCAAGCUGGGGGCUGCUGCUUCACUGCCUCUUCGAUUCUGAGAAACGCCAGCUUGUCAGGGUGGCCAACACAAACGAUCAGGUCACACUGUCUCAGAUGGGUUUGCACUGCCGGCAGAGAGCAAAUAUCUUGUUCUACAAUUGCCUCAGGUCUACACCAACUAUUACUGCACAGAAGACCAAACAAUGACAAAUUGACAAAAAUGACAUUUUGUCAUGUCCAAAAAGAAAACAUUAUGUCAGAGUCUGUUAACUUGAGCAUUUUGAACAGAGAUGUACAUACACUGUAUAAUGAAUCAAUAAGUGUCUUUUAUUGUAUUAUGUAUUGCUAUACUGUAUGAAAUGACAAAAAUGUAACAAUAAAUACUGUGUUCCUCUC